rnacentral:rRNA from 1 species
AUUGAACGCUGGCGGCAGGCUUAAUACCUGCAAGUCGAGCGAGCGGCGGACGGGUGUGUAAUGUCUGGGAACCUGCCUGACGGAGGGGGAUAACUACUGGAAACGGUAGCUAAUACCGCAUACCAUCAGAUGUGCCCAGAUGGGAUUAGCUAGUAGGUGGGGUAAUGUCUCACCUAGGCGACGAUCCCCAGCUGGUCCGAGAGGAUGUCCAGCCACACUGGAACUGAGACCCGGUCCAGACUCCUACGGGAGGCAGCAUUAGGGAAUAUUGCACAAUGGGCGAAAGCCUGAUGCAGCCAUGCCGCGUGUGUGAAGAAGGCCUUCGGGUUGUAAAGCACUUUCAGCGAGGAGGCGUUACUCGCAGAGGAAGCACCGGCUAAAUCCGUGCCAGCCGCCGCGGUAAUUC